rnacentral:rRNA from 1 species
GAUGAACGCUGGCGGCGUGCCUAAUACAUGCAAGUCGAGCGAACGGACGAGAAGCUUGCUUCUCUGAUGUUAGCGGCGGACGGGUGAGUAACACGUGGAUAACCUACCUAUAAGACUGGGAUAACUUCGGGAAACCGGAGCUAAUACCGGAUAAUAUUUUGAACCGCAUGGUUCAAAAGUAAAAGACGGUCUUGCUGUCACUUAUAGAUGGAUCCGCGCUGCAUUAGCUAGUUGGUAAGGUAACGGCUUACCAAGGCAACGAUGCAUAGCCGACCUGAGAGGGUGAUCGGCCACACUGGAACUGAGACACGGUCCAGACUCCUACGGGAGGCAGCAGUAGGGAAUCUUCCGCAAUGGGCGAAAGCCUGACGGAGCAACGCCGCGUGAGUGAUGAAGGUCUUCGGAUCGUAAAACUCUGUUAUUAGGGAAGAAUAUAUGUGUAAGUAACUGUGCACAUCUUGACGGUACCUAAUCAGAAAGCCACGGCUAACUACGUGCCAGCAGCCGCGGUAAUACGUAGGUGGCAAGCGUUAUCCGGAAUUAUUGGGCGUAAAGCGCGCGUAGGCGGUUUUUUAAGUCUGAUGUGAAAGCCCACGGCUCAUCCGUGGAGGGUCAUUGGAAACUGGAAAACUUGAGUGCAGAAGAGGAAAGUGGAAUUCCAUGUGUAGCGGUGAAAUGCGCAGAGAUAUGGAGGAACACCAGUGGCGAAGGCGACUUUCUGGUCUGUAACUGACGCUGAUGUGCGAAAGCGUGGGGAUCAAACAGGAUUAGAUACCCUGGUAGUCCACGCCGUAAACGAUGAGUGCUAAGUGUUAGGGGGUUUCCGCCCCUUAGUGCUGCAGCUAACGCAUUAAGCACUCCGCCUGGGGAGUACGACCGCAAGGUUGAAACUCAAAGGAAUUGACGGGGACCCGCACAAGCGGUGGAGCAUGUGGUUUAAUUCGAAGCAACGCGAAGAACCUUACCAAAUCUUGACAUCCUUUGACAACUCUAGAGAUAGAGCCUUCCCCUUCGGGGGACAAAGUGACAGGUGGUGCAUGGUUGUCGUCAGCUCGUGUCGUGAGAUGUUGGGUUAAGUCCCGCAACGAGCGCAACCCUUAAGCUUAGUUGCCAUCAUUAAGUUGGGCACUCUAAGUUGACUGCCGGUGACAAACCGGAGGAAGGUGGGGAUGACGUCAAAUCAUCAUGCCCCUUAUGAUUUGGGCUACACACGUGCUACAAUGGACAAUACAAAGGGCAGCGAAACCGCGAGGUCAAGCAAAUCCCAUAAAGUUGUUCUCAGUUCGGAUUGUAGUCUGCAACUCGACUACAUGAAGCUGGAAUCGCUAGUAAUCGUAGAUCAGCAUGCUACGGUGAAUACGUUCCCGGGUCU